AGCAGAAGAAGGCGUUGAUGUUGCUGACAGAAGAUAGAGAGCACAUGCACUCACAUGCAGAGAGACUGCUUUUGAGUUGUAUGUGCUCUCUAUGCUUCUGUCCGCAUUGGUUUUUGUGAUNUUUUCUGUU
rnacentral:pre_miRNA from 1 species